rfam:Fervidicola ferrireducens strain Y170 AN618_contig000021, whole genome shotgun sequence.
UUCGGUGGCCAUAGCGGAGGGGGAACACCGGUUCCCAUUUCGAACACACAGGUUAAGCCCUCCAGCGCCGAUGGUACUGGGGAGUAUUCCCCGGGAGAGUAGGACGCUGCCGAAA